AUUGAACGCUGGCGGCAGGCUUAACACAUGCAAGUCGAACGAGUGGCGGACGGGUGAGGAAUGCUUGGGAAUCUGGAUCAUGGAGGGGGACAACUAAGGGAAACUGUAGCUAAUACCGAGUACUAUAGGAUGAGCCCAAGUGGGAUUAGGUAGUUGGUGGGGUAAAGGCUAACCAAGCCGACGAUCACUAGCUGGUCUGAGAGGAUGACCAGCCACACGGGAACGGAGACCCGUCCCAGACUCCUACGGGAGGCAGCAGUGGGGAAUAUUGCGCAAUGGGGGCAACCUGACGCAGCCAGGCCGCGGGAAUGAAGAAGGCCUUCGGGUUGUAAAGUUCUUUCGGUAGCGAGGCGUUAACUACAGAAGAAGCACCGGCUAACUCCGUGCCAGCAGCCGCGGUAAUAC
rnacentral:rRNA from 1 species